GUGCCAGCCGCCGCGGUAAUACAGAGGGUGCAAGCGUUGUUCGGAAUUACUGGGCGUAAAGCGCGUGUAGGCGGCUUUGCAAGUCGGGUGUGAAAGCCCUCGGCUCAACCGAGGAAGUGCGCCCGAAACUGCAGGGCUCGAGUGCCGGAGAGGGUGGCGGAAUUCCCCAAGUAGAGGUGAAAUUCGUAGAUAUGGGGAGGAACACCGGUGGCGAAGGCGGCCACCUGGACGGUGACUGACGCUGAGACGCGAAAGCGUGGGGAGCAAACAGGAUUAGAUACCCCCGUAGUCC
rnacentral:rRNA from 1 species